rnacentral:rRNA from 1 species
UUCCGGUUGAUCCUGCCGGACCUGACUGCUAUCGGAUUGAUACUAAGCCAUGCAAGUCUUUGUAGUAAUACAAGGCAUACGGCUCAGUAACGCGUAGUCAACCUACCCUAUGGAUGGGAAUAAUCUCGGGAAACUGAGCAUAAUACCCAACAGAUCAUCAAUUCUGGAAUGGUUGAUGAUUCAAAUGAUUUUUCGCCAUAGGAUGGGACUGCGGCCUAUCAGCUUGUUGGUGAGGUAAUGGCCCACCAAGGCGAUUACAGGUACGGGCUCUGAGAGGAGAAGCCCGGAGAUGGGUACUGAGACAAGGACCCAGGCCCUAUGGGGCGCAGCAGGCGAGAAAACUUUGCAAUGUGCGAAAGCACGACAAGGUUAAUCCGAGUGAUUUCUGCUAAAGGAAUCUUUUACCAGUUCUAAAAAUACCGGCGAAUAAGGGGUGGGCAAGUUCUGGUGUCAGCCGCCGCGGUAAAACCAGCACCUCAAGUGGUCAGGAGGAUUAUUGGGCCUAAAGCAUCCGUAGCCGGCUCUGUAAGUUUUCGGUUAAAUCUAUACGCUCAACAUAUGGGCUGCCGAAAAUACUGCACAGCUAGGGAAUGGGAGAGGUAGACGGUACUCGGUAGGAAGGGGUAAAAUCCUUUGAUCUAUCGAUGACCACCUGUGGCGAAGGCGGUCUACCAGAACACGUUCGACGGUGAGGGAUGAAAGCUGGGGGAGCAAACCGGAUUAGAUACCCGGGUAGUCCCAGCUGUAAACGAUGCAGACUCGAUGAUGCAUUGGCAUAUAGCCAGUGCAGUGUCGCAGGAAGCCGUUAAGUCUGCCGCCUGGGAAGUACGUACGCAAGUAUGAAACUUAAAGGAAUUGGCGGGGGAGCACCACAAGGGGUGAAGCCUGCGGUUCAAUUGGAGUCAACGCCGGA